CAUUGAAAUACCGGUUCCUGUAUGAACCCCAAAGUUAAGCAAUGUUAAGCCUGGUCAAUAACUAGAUGGGUGGCCGCUUGGGAAUACCAGGUGCUAUA